GCUGGCGGUAGGCUUAACACAUGCAAGUCGUGCGAGAAAAUAUCUUCGGAUACGAGUAAAGCGGCGGACGGGUGAGUAACGCGUAGGAAUCUACCUAGUAGAAGGGGAUAGCCCGAGGAAACUCGGAUUAAUACCGUAUACCUCCUUAGGGAGAAAGAGGGCCUCUCUUGAUGCUCUCGCUAUUAGAUGAGCCUGCGUAAGAUUAGCUUGUUGGUGAGGUAAUGGCUCACCAAGGCUACGAUCUUUAGCUGGUCUGAGAGGACGAUCAGCCACAUUGGGACUGAGACACGGCCCAGACUCCUACGGGAGGCAGCAGUGGGGAAUAUUGGACAAUGGGCGCAAGCCUGAUCCAGCCAUACCGCGUGUGUGAAGAAGGCCCUAGGGUUGUAAAGCACUUUAAGCAGGGAGAAAAAGCUAUAAGCUAAUACCUUAUAGCCCUGAUGUUACCUGCAGAAUAAGCACCGGCUAAUUCCGUGCCAGCAGCCGCGGUAAUACGGAAGGUGCAAGCGUUAAUCGGAAUUACUGGGCGUAAAGCGCGCGUAGGUGGUUUGUUAAGUUGGAUGUGAAAGCCCUGGGCUCAACCUAGGAACUGCAUCCAAAACUAACUCACUUGAGUACGAUAGAGGGAGGUAGAAUUCAUAGUGUAGCGGUGGAAUGCGUAGAUAUUAUGAAGAAUACCAGUGGCGAAGGCGGCCUCCUGGAUCUGUACUGACACUGAGGUGCGAAAGCGUGGGUAGCGAACAGGAUUAGAUACCCUGGUAGUCCACGCCGUAAACGAUGACAACUAGCUGUUGGGAGACAAAGUCUUUCAGUGGCGCAGCUAACGUUUUAAGUUGUCCGCCUGGG
rnacentral:rRNA from 1 species